GUGAAGUGGUGGACGACCCAAAGUCUCGUUACAACAGUUAUCCUCUUUUUAGAAUAUUGCUUAAUAUACAGCAGUCCGCACAGCAGGCCUGGUUUAUGCAUUGGAUGAUCGGCAAAGAAACACUGCAGGAUCUUCCAUGGUACAAAGGACGGUUUUGAAGGUUGACGUUUCAUGCCAUAAAUGCAAGAAGAAGAUUCUCAAGGCUGUCUCUGACAUUGAUGGUGUAGAUAAGAUAGAAGUUGACGAAGGGAAGGGGACAUUGACGGUAACAGGAAGUGCAGAUCCAUAUGAGAUAAUAGUACGCACAAGAAAAGCAGGAAAACAUGUAGAGGUAGUGACUAUUGGGCCGCCUCCUCCACCACCUAAACAGCCACAGGCACAGGAUCAGCAAAAGAAGCCAGAGGACAAGAAGGAAGAGAAAAAACCUCAACAAAAGUCCCAAAUCCAUGAUCCCCUCACUUGUCCCCAGUGUCAGAGCAUUAUUGUUGUUCCAAUGGGCUAUCACGAGCGCAGCCCAUCAUGCUCGAUUAUGUGAUUUUUUUUCUAUAACUGAUAAGUAAAUUUCUAAUCACGAGACUUUCUUUUUUAUAUAUAUUACUGUUAAGUAAACUCAUAAUCAAAAUUAUGUAUUUUGGCUAGAGAGAUGAAAAUGGAAUGAUGUUUACUGACGUAAGCGUCUCACUUGGCUUAAAAUUAAAGUAAAAAAAAAUGCAUAAUUUUUUUUUUCCCAAUUAAAAGAAACUUGGCUGCGACUGUGGUGAUAGUUUGCAGUGGGGGUUUCGCUGCUUCACCAAGCUAUCCGAGUCUCAGACCCAACUUUGCAAGCAUCGGGAACUCUAUAAAAUAUUUGGUCUAUUGAAUUUUAGCUGGAGACAACGAAACAUGGCCUGCUCAGAUAAAACUCUCCGAGUCUUCUGCGUCGGCACCGCUGAUACCAAGCUCGACGAACUCCGAUUUCUAUCUGACUCCGUCAGUUCCAGUCUCACCUCUUUGUCCAACAACUCUUCUUCCAAGGUGGAGGUUGUGAUUGUUGAUGUUUCCGUGGGUCAGAAAGAGAUUAAUGGUAUUGGGGAAUUUUCUUUUGUAUCAAGAAAGGAUGUUCUUGCUUGCUUAAAGGUUUCAGUUGAACAAAACCAUAAUAUGCUUCCAGAUGAUAGGGCCCAAGCUGUGGCUAUAAUGAGUAAAGCACUUGAACAUUUCAUGAAGAACGCUCAGGAGACUAAUGUCGUUGCGGGUGCCAUUGGCCUUGGUGGUAGUGGAGGAACAUCUUUAUUAUCAUCUGCUUUUAGAUUGCUUCCACUUGGGAUGCCUAAGAUUAUUGUGUCUACUGUAGCUAGUGGUCAAACUGAACCUUAUGUUGGCACCUCAGAUUUGAUAUUGUUUCCAUCCAUAGUGGAUGUGUGUGGGAUUAAUAGUGUAAGUAGAGUUGUGUUAUCUAAUGCUGGAGCUGCUUUUGCUGGAAUGGUCAUUGGAAGGCUUGAGAGGGCUGGAGGUUCUCUUGGUGAGAGUGAGAAAUUAACUGUUGGUAUAACUAUGUUUGGAGUUACAACCCCCUGUGUAAAUGCUGUCAAAGAAAGAUUGGUGAGAGAAGGAUAUGAGACCUUGGUUUUCCACGCCACUGGGGUUGGGGGCAGGGCCAUGGAGUCUCUUGUUAGAGAGGGAUUCAUAAAGGGUGUUUUAGACAUCACUACAACAGAGGUUGCAGAUUAUGUAGUUGGAGGUAUUAUGGCUUGUGAUAGUUCCCGCUUUGAUGCCAUCUUAGAGAAGAAUAUCCCUUUGGUCUUGAGUGUAGGAGCCUUGGACAUGGUGAACUUUGGAGCUGUGGAUACAAUCCCUCCUAAUUUCCAGCAAAGAAAGAUUCAUAUCCACAAUGAACAGGUUUCGCUCAUGCGAACAACUGUGGAAGAGAAUAAAAAAUUUGCUGAAUUUAUAGCAGAUAAACUUAACGAGUCAUCAUCAAAGAUUCGUGUCUGCCUGCCACAAAAGGGUAUCUCAGCUUUGGAUGCACCUGGGAAACCAUUUUGUGACCCUGAGUCUACUGCUACUCUAAUAAGUGAACUACAGAAGCUAAUACAGAUAAAUGAAGACCGGCAGGUACUAUUAUUGUUUAAUCAAUGGCGAAUGUCAGAGUUCCAAUUUUCACUGUAUGCUUAAGCGUCUCUGGAUUUUCUAUAUUGCUUUGUGUGAUGAAAUUGAAAUUUGUUGAUAGUAGGUACAGGUGUGUUCUUAUCAUAUCAAUGACCCAGAAUUCGCAGAUACAUUGGUGGAUUCCUUUUUAGAGAUUAGUUUGGAGAACCCUAUGGAAUCCAGUCCUUCCCAAAUUGCUAUUUAUGAACCCUGCCUAGAGCAUAACAUUUCUACUGUGAAAUCAUCAAGCUGUGGGAUGAUCUGUUACAGCCCAAGCAACUACCCAGAUGCAAGACCAGGUUUAAUUGGACUUCUUCAUUAUGAUAACUUCUUAACAUAUUGGUUCUUUGUUGAUCAUGUGAGAAAGACCUGCUGAUCUUAAUCAAGUAUUAUUGUCUUAAUAGGAAAGUAUUAAUUCCACUGAUUGUACUUAUUCUUAACUCAAGAACAGCCAGAAAUAUAGGUAUAACAUCUGUCAGAUGCGUAUUUGUAAAAAUAUGACAAGUUAACCAAAAAAUUACAAUUAGUGGAAAAUAAAGACAGAUAUUUAAUCAGCUAACAAACAACUAUUUUUGUAACAGAAACUUUGCAGAAAACUCAGACAAUAUUGCAGCAAUUGAAAGAUCAAAUAGAAAAAGGAUUGCCCAUAAUAGGAGCUGGUGCAGGGACUGGGAUAUCUGCAAAAUUUGAGGAAGCUGGUGGAGUUGAUUUAAUAGUACUUUACAAUUCAGGGCGUUUUCGCAUGGCAGGAAGGGGUUCCUUAGCAGGCUUAUUGCCAUUUGCUGAUGCAAAUGCUAUAGUAAUUGAAAUGGCUAAUGAAGUUUUACCAAUUGUGAAGGGGGUACCAGUUCUUGCUGGAGUAUGCGGAACUGAUCCUUUUCGCCGAAUGGAUUACUUCCUAAAGCAGCUGGAGUCAAUUGGAUUCUCUGGUGUGCAAAAUUUUCCUACUGUUGGGCUAUUUGAUGGUAAUUUUAGACAGAAUCUGGAAGAGACAGGAAUGGGAUAUGGCUUGGAAGUCCAAAUGAUUGAAAAAGCUCAUAAAAUGGGUCUUCUCACAACCCCCUAUGCUUUUAACCAAAAUGAAGCAGGGGAAAUGGCAAAAGCUGGUGCUGAUAUCAUUGUGGCCCAUAUGGGGCUUACUACGUCUGGGUCUAUUGGUGCAAAAACAGCAGUAUCAUUGGAAGAGAGUGUGUUUCGUGUGCAAGCUAUUGCAGACGCUGCACAUAAUAUCAACCCCAACAUCAUUGUGCUUUGCCAUGGAGGUCCUAUAUCUGGUCCUAGAGAAGCAGAAUUCGUAUUGAAGAGAACCAAGGGAGUUCAUGGAUUUUAUGGUGCGUCAAGCAUGGAGAGAAUUCCUGUUGAACAAGCUAUAACGAGCACAAUGCAGCAGUAUAAAUCAAUUUCCAUCAAAUAAGGUUUGAUGUUUUGUAUGUCACCAAGUUUGUUAAAUGGUUAUGCAUGAUCAACAAUUUUCUUUUUUCAAUUUCUUUAAUCUUUUGCUCCCCUGCUUUAAGAGUGCAAAGAAAUAAAGGUGUCUGGAUGCAAAAACAAUAAAAGGCCAGUUUUAUCUAUUCACAAGAACAGUGUGCCCAUAUGCUAAACUGUAACAGAGAAUGAUAAUUAUGCUGCAUUGCAUUUGCUAGAUUACUAACUAGUUUCCUGCACCACAAGAAAACAUGCUUGCUUAUUUUCCAUCAUCCAAGGCUUUCAAAGUUAUGGGACAUCCACUCCUCAGUCUAGGAACAUGAGUCUUCUUUUCUAGGCUGGGAUCAUGAUCAUGAAUUGUCCACUUGUAUCCUCUAGUUAGCCGGUGCAGAAAUACCAACAUUAUCACUCUGGCCAUGUUCAUUCCCAGGCAAGUCCUAGGUCCUGAUCCAAAAGGUAUAAAACUGUAUGGUUUUUGCAUUUCAUCAAAUCUUGAAGGGUUGAAUUGCAUUGGAUCCUUGUACAAUUCUGGGUCGUAAUGAAUACAUGUUGCAUCUACAUUUACGUGCCAUCCUUUCUUUAUCUCAAAACAGAACUUCAGGAAUUUGGCUGCAAGUGUGCAGAGGAACUUGCCGUCAAUUAUGCAAUCAUUAAGUGCAACUCGAGGAAACCAUAACAGGACAUUUGACAUCCUCAAUGUUUCUUUCACAACCUUUAAGCCAUAGAACAUUUUGUUAAGAUCUUCAAUGGUGAGUGAGGCUCCAUCUAGCUUAUUUUUGGCAAUGGACAGUUGCUCUUCCCUAAGCCUGUCUUGGGCAUCUCUGUUCUCAUCUAGGAACUUGACACUCCACAUCAUAGCAGCAGCAGUGGUGGUCUGCGCUACAAUUAGCAGUGUUAACAGGUUAUCCAUGAUAUCGAGUCGUCAAGCUUUUCACUGGAUGGAUAUGAAUCUCUCUAUAAUAUGGACUGUAGGAAGUCAUCAUGGGUCUCCUUUCCUCCUCGUCUGUCACCAAUCAUCCCCUUGAAGGUUUCCAUGAGCCUUUGACGUGCCUGUUCUAUCUACUCCUUUUAGGCAUUUAUACAACUCAAAAUCAAGAACAAGUUAAAGAUAUGUUCAUCACAACUGGAUUGCUACCUCUACUUGUAUCCAGGAUUUCCCUUUCUUACCUCUACUUGUAUCCAGGAUUUCCCUUUCU
rnacentral:misc_RNA from 1 species